UACGUAGGGGCGUAGCGUUAUCCGGAUUUACUGGGCGUAAAGGGUGCGUAGGUGGUUUCUUAAGUCAGAGGUGAAAGGCUACGGCUCAACCGUAGUAAGCCUUUGAAACUGGGAAACUUGAGUGCAGGAGAGGAGAGUGGAAUUCCUAGUGUAGCGGUGAAAUGCGUAGAUAUUAGGAGGAACACCAGUUGCGAAGGCGGCUCUCUGGACUGUAACUGACACUGAGGCACGAAAGCGUGGGGAGCAAACAGGAUUAGAUACCCCGGUAGUCCCUGAGCGGGCU
rnacentral:rRNA from 1 species